UCUGGGCCUGGGGGCAGGGCCUCGGAGGAGUCAGAGUUGCAGUUUCUGGGAUCUGGGCUGCGGCUAUCAGUCCUCCAUCCUGGUGCUGUGUGUGAAGCAUUCCGUGUUCUCUUUGCCAUCAUUGUAUCAUUUAGCUUUCUGCUGACCUUGACUAUCCUUCUCUCCUGCCAACAGCCCUGUCACAAAGAAUGACCCAUUGGCCCAACCCAAUUGGCACCUGAACAGGGACCAGAGUAAGGAGAAAAGGGUUCGGCAACAGUUCCCAAAUUAGGAGGCACCUUAUUUUCUCCAAUACAUUCGAGUACAUUCUGGUCUCCUUGGUCUUUUGGCAGAGGAAGGUGAUGGUCCGUCUUGGGUUCCCGAGAGUCUUAUCAAACACUCCCAGGUCACAAAAGCGAUGGCUGCAUCACAGGCGCCAGAAGUUGAGGGUGCAGAAGAUGAUGAGUUUCAAGGCACAGCAGAGCCCAAAGCGUCCUAUCCAGUCUACCCAGAAGCGUCUAUUCCAGACUUGGAAACAGAUUAAACACUUUACUGCUGAAGGCAUUCAAGUGGUCAAGGCCAAAGGGCAACGUAUUUCUCCUACUCGCUUAGUUUCAGCAUUUCUGGCAUUAUUCUCUGCCCCGCUGGCAGAAAGUGUGGGGGUCUACUGGGCUUAGGUACCUGAUCCUGCUUUGGCCCACUUGGGAGGAUUCAGCAACUGGAGUGUUUACUAAUGAUAAAGUGUUUUUGACAGUCCUGGUAUUUCUCAUGUGCUGCCUUGCACUGCGCUCUCAUCCAUCAUUCCCAUUUGUCAUUUGUGGGUCAUUAUGCAUGUGUCCCUCUAAUCCAAGUGAUCCAAAAAACUUGUCUUUGGAGUACAGGAGAGUUUUCUAAACAUCAUCAGUUCACCCAUCAAUUUAGUUUUCCAGUCUCUAAUCACUCACAGGUUACCCCAUUGGAUGGAUGUGUCCAAGUAUGCAAUGAGAAUCCUGUGCCCUAGUUUCCAGAAUGGAAUACCCAUGCCAUGGUUCUAAAGAAUUCUGUGCCUCUGAAUGGAUGACCUAAGGUGCUUGUCGACUUGUCUUGGAGGUGCCCACCGGACCUGAAUGAAGAUAACUUAGGUGCCGAGGGCCAUGUAGGAGGAGUGGCAAAUGGCUUUAGAACUCAUGGAAUUUGGCUCACAGGUUACCACAGUCACAUGGGUAGCCUUGGUGUGGUAAAGGACCACGUGCCCUGAGGACUUCAUGCUGUUACAGAGUUCUUCUCUGCUUGCUGCCCUCACAUCCCUCUUCAUCUAAACACUGUAUGAAAACUUUAAGGGGGCGUCCAGCCCCUCACUGGGCAGCAUCUCUGGCACUCACAGUACUAAUGUUUGGUCUCUUUCAGGCACUGCUGCUGGAGCAGAUUAAUGAUUCUAUCACCACCCUAGGAAAGAACUUAGAGAUGCAGAUUGUCAGCAGUGACCACGAUUUUUAGAAAACAUUUAGAAAAAUAAAGUUGUUAGUGAAAGUAGGUUGAAAUAUUUUUGCUACUGGCUGAUAUAAAAUAAUCUUAGGAAACAAUCUGAAGUUCAAAAAGGCACACUCUUAAUAGUUAUGCUAGGGACCUAAAGGUCAGGGAACAAUGGCAGCACUGGCUGACGUGACUUUCACUGAGGCUGGACUGGUUGUAAUUGAUUUCUUAUACUCAGUUUUGCCCUCAGCUUCCUGAAAGUAUAAGAAUUGCUGAUGAGUAGAUAUAUAUUUUAAGGAUUUAUGAUAGAUAUGACUGCUUUUCAUAUAAAACUUUAGAUUUAUGACUCUUUUAAGAUUCUCAGA